rnacentral:misc_RNA from 1 species
AGCUUUCAGUUUGACACUCGGCCGCGUGUAAAGCUCACGAACUUUGCGAAAUAUCAGUGAAAAGUGUCGAGCGAGGCGGAGGCGAUACGCGGCGGCAAAAUGGCGGCCACAGUGCGAAACAAAUGACAGCGCGGAUUUUGUGAGCUUGCAAGCUUUAACAAGGACCCGCGAAAUGCCCGAUUGUUAAAUUUCUACGAGAAUAUUUAGUAGUUUCGAACAACCGAAAAUAAUAAAAAAUACAUUUUUUAAUUUCUCGAUUCCCGAAGGGCGCGUACCUAAAGUUAUAUCGUAAGAACAAUUUCAUGAGAUAACUUGAGAAUAAAAUAAUACAUUUUAUCAGCGGCAAACGAACGGCUUCAUUAAGCUUUUAAGAAACGAACUAUUGUAAGUGAUAUCAAACUUAGCGAACUUGGAUCCUUUAACAAUGAACCCGGCACUCGCGGAGGUGCGUUACAAGCUCUCAUUCAGGGAGAUGAUUCUCUCUGUAGGGUGAAACCGUUACUCCAACACCUGAUGAUGUAUGCGCCUCGUAUCAUUGAAGCGUAAAUACUAUACAUAGAAAUUGCUAAAAAUGUUGGGAUAUCUUUGAAACAUUGGACAAUUCUCAAUUACAAGUUACAUGGGAUUACGAAACAAAUGAAUCAAAAAUGCAUUUGCAUUUUGAGAAAAAUAACAACGCUAAGUGUGACUGCAACAUCCUGUCGCUCAGUUGGAUGGGAAAAGUGCCAGACGAGCUUCCUGAGGACGAAGGAUGGAAGCUGAACAGAACAAAUUAUUACCAAGAAGGUUGGCUGGCUACGGGAAACGCGAGGGGACUGGUGGGGGUGACUUUUACCACUUCGCAUUGCAGAACCAGAGCCGCCGAGCUACCUCUUCGAACGAACUAUAACCUCAGGGGUCACAGAAGCGAGGUGAUCAUGGUCAAGUGGAACGAACCCUAUCAGAAAUUGGCGUCUUGUGAUAGCUCGGGGGUGAUUUUCGUGUGGAUAAAGUACGAAGGAAAGUGGAGCAUCGAGCUGAUAAAUGACCGAAGUACACCGGUCACCUAUUUCUCCUGGUCUCACGACGGUCGAAUGGCCCUAAUAUGUUAUCAGGAUGGCUUUGUCUUAGUGGGCAGCGUUGCUGGCCAGAGAUAUUGGUCAUCGAUGCUCAAUGACCAGGCAACCAUCACGUGUGGAAUUUGGACUCCAGACGAUCAGCAGGUCUACUUCGGAACGACGGCGGGUCAGCUGAUAGUGAUGGAUGUUCACGGAGCAAUGGUGUCGGAGGUUCAAUUGGCAGCGGCGGUGACGUCGAUGGCUUGGAGUGCAGAGAAAUUCAAAAUGGAAGAAGGGGACGACGACGUAACCGGUAGCCAGUGUUCGCAAGACGAACGGAGCUACGUGUUGGCGGUUUGUCUCGCCGACGGAAAUAUCAUCCUGCUGCGUUCCUUCGACGACGUUUCACCCGUGACGAUACGAACAGGGUUGAGGUCACCUCUGCUUGCCGAGUGGAGCAAUUCCAAGAAGCUUUUGGCAGUCGCUGGUAUCAAGGAUUCCGACCAUGUUUUUCAACCCAAUCCCCAGGAGUUCACGAAUUUAUUACAGUUCUACUCCGAUACCGGCGUUCUGGUCUACACGACGGCGAUACCGUACACGCAAUGUCCGGUAUCGGCGUUGACCUGGGGUCAUAACGACAGAAGAUUGUUCGUUGCAACAGGAGCGCGAGUCCACGCAGCUUGGGUAUCUAGACGGGUUGGUUCUCUCCAGUUACUCUCAAGGCUUGCUGUCCGCGCUGCUCUCUCCAGAGAAUCCAGCGUGCAGCAGCUGCCUUUGCCUCCAAGACUGAGAGCCUUAGUCGCUGCCCUUUUCGCAAGCACCAUAAGAUGCUGCGUACCCGAGCCGAGAGAAUUGCGGCGUUUCGUAUCGCGUCCGCCUCCCGGGGGUGGCCGGCUUCACUGUACGAUGCUUCGGCACGCGGGUGAGCCAGCGCCGUGUUACACACUGUACUUGGAGUAUCUCGGAGGCUUAGUACCACUGCUCAAGGGUAGAAGGACGAGCAAAAUUCGUCCAGAGUUUGUGAUAUUCGAUCCGCAAAGUCAAGAGACGCUACAGACGACAGAUUUUUCCACGCAGUAUCAGGCUUACAGCGACGGCUCUGACACCGAAAGAGACACUGCGGAUUUGUGCGGAUCGCCGAGGAACAGAAGAAAGAACAGAAGGAGGCGGGAGGAAAAACCCGUAGAAGAAACCGACGACCUCGCGUACGUCGACACUCUGCCUGAGCACGCGAGAUUGGUGGAAGUUACGUCAAACAUUUGGGGGACCAAGUUCAAAAUUCACGGACUGACCGACUCCGUUCCCGCUAACUUGGGUCAAGUUACAUAUCGAACGUCUCUCUUGCAUCUGCAGCCAAGACAGAUGACACUGGUCAUGACUGAGUUGAGAGAUGAUGUACCGGCGGGUCCAGACCCGACUUUCAAUCCGAACCUUUUCUCCGAGGAUGAAGAAGAAGUGUUCCAGGAGCCGCAGGGAAGCUCACGCGGUAGUUUGGAGGCCCAACCGCCGCCAAUCGCCCCAAUGACCCCGAGGAAUUCUCGACUGAACGCGAAUCGUCCAAAAUCGCAGAUUUCCAACCAAUUCAUAACGUCGGAAGCUCUUUCGCCGGCGCUCGCGCGAGCCGAGAGUUACGAGGACGAAUUUUCGUACGUCGAUUUGCAGGACAUGGUGAGCUUCUGCGAGAACCUCCGAGCCACGUCUGGUAACACGUACAGAACACCGCCGCGACACAACUCGCCGAGAUGCUGCGACGUCCCGACGUUACAGUCUCCGAAAAACGCGGUAGCGCCGACGCAGACCUUGAUAGCAACCUCAAACCCGAACACGGACUACACGGGUAACAUUCAAAGGGUAAAAACAGCGCUGGCUGACCAACAGACGAACAUGGCGACGAAAAAGGAUAUCGAGAACAACAAAAUGAAUCAAAUAUCAGACGAGAAGUCGAACCUGACCUCGAACCCCGGUAGCGUCAUCCCCCUCUCGAUCCAGGGUGGAGGUAAUUUGGGCUCGGGUUCUUGCUCACCGAGUACAAUAAUCAACGGCUUAAGCAACCCCGUUAACUGUCCCCCGGGACAGUCAAUAUUCCUGAACGGUUUAAGCGGCAUCGGAGGUUCAAGUGGCGCAGUUCUGCAGGCAGCUUCUAACAUCCAAAAUUCCGGGAUUCAGAUGAGUCAGAUGUCGGUGCAUUCUAAGAACAGUCUGAACUUAGCGGGUAGCGUGAACGGCUCCACUGGGCUCGGCUGCUCGAGCGGAAAUUUGAACGGCAUGCCGACGAAUUCGAAGAGUGCUGGGAGUGCGAAUGGUCGGUGCAACGGGCCGGGUUCACCGACUUGUUCAGGCCAAGUGCAUGUGGCCCAGAGUCAGUGUCCAUUGACAACUAGUCAACCGAACGGCGGCCAGCAGAGUUCCAAGAGAAAAGACGCGAAGGCACAGGGUUGCUGCGGAAAGUCGAGCCCUGGAGGAAACCAGGUGGGAAUAGCGCCGGGAAAAUCCGAAGAGCUUCGGUAUAUCGACGAGGAGAAUUCCCUCGAGUUGGGCACUGUUCAGUUUCGGACCGUCCACAGAACUCCGACGGUGGUUAGUAUCGGACCACUUUGUCUCGCUGACCCGAUAGUGAGAAGCUGCAGCGUCGGCUAUCUGGACUUGGUCGACGCACAGUUGGUGCCUUGCGAGGUGGCGCUCAGGAUGCUACGGAAAGAAGCGCCGAACAAGAGACUGGUGCUCGUUUCUCGGAAGACCAAAAAAAGACGGAAGAACAAACCGCAGACCGAGAUCUCACAGCCGAACAGAAAACCUCCGAGGUUGAAAAACUGCGGUAAAUCGCGCAGCUUAGACUCCAGCGACAUAUUUCCGAGUACCGAACAGAUCGCCACAGUGCCUCAGCUGCCCGAACACCUAGAAGAGGCUUCGAACCCCGAAUCUCCGGAAAGCAAACACGUUGAGGCCGUCGCGGAUCUCGUCGAGACCACUCCUCCUACUGAGGCCAAUUCUAAACGCGAAAAGGCGGAUACUGAGCUCCAAGAAACGCCCGAAGUCAUACCUGAAAAGCCCGCCAGAUUAGAGGCUUGUCCGUCUCCGGUCAGAGGGUCCAGUCCAAGUGGCUCGAUCGCUUCUUCGCUGGACGGACUCGCAGCUAGGCUGAGAGAUUUCGACGAGAGUCACUCCCUGCCACCACCGUCUCCACGUCUGACUUCAAGAUUGCCCAGAAGUUCACCUAGCAGCCCAGCACCGUCAAAGAAAGGGAAACGACCGGCGUCCGCUUCCCCAAUCAGACGAAGGCUUUUGUCCAGUCCUCUGCUGAGCAGACGACCCAGAAAAAGUCGGGGGGAAAGUUCGGACGACGAAGGGUUGCCCCAGGAGGAAUCGCCAAGGAAUUAUCGCAACUUGGAGACCUUCCAGAAGGCCCAACUUCGCCAAAAGUUGAAACAGCGAGGCGCCGGAUCCUCGGGGCAUAAAUCAGACAUUUUCAACAAACGAGAGGAACUGCGGAUGCACAACAAGGCUCCGAUGUGGAACGAGUCGAGUCAGGUGUACCAACUCGACUUUGGCGGCAGAGUCACUCAAGAGAGUGCAAAAAAUUUUCAAAUCGAAUUUAGGGGCAAGCAGGUGAUGCAGUUCGGUAGGAUAGACGGUAAAGCCUACACUCUGGACUUCCAAUACCCCUUCAGUGCAUUGCAGGCCUUCGCCGUGGCACUUGCAAAUGUUACACAGCGGCUCAAGUAACCUUCACUCUCCAGUACUUCAUUCGAUAUAUGUACGGAUCCGGUUACGAUUGGCCUCGCAUGAAUUUUCAGUAACAAAAGUCUGUGCGAAAUUUGGAAUACGAGUAUUAAUAUAAAUAAUAAUAACAACUCUACUAAAGUUCGAUCGUAGCGCAAUUAUUUGUUUUUAUAUUUUGUUCUGUUUUUUAAUUUAAGAAGAUAAUAACUAUAUCGAUAGGUCCGCGUCGGCUACCGGUGCAAAAUAUCGCAGUUGAACGGAAAAAACGAUCAUUACUACUGAAAGUAUAAUUCAUUGACCUUAGUAACAAAAAUAGGCUGUAUUGAGAAAUAAACGUUAUCUGUCGUGUAACUGAAAUGUUAGAACCGUAUUUCAACGAAACGUAUGAAACGUAUGAAAAUAGACAAAAUCGGAUGACAGGCUAGUUCUAGGCAUCGGCUAGUUAAAAUAAGUGACUCUUUAAUUGUUGAACCCCGUUAUUUUUUACGCGAAGAAUAUUUCUCGCUAAACAAGUAGACGAGAGAAGUGAGAGUUUGUGCGAAAAAUUACAAAAUACUAAUAUCAAGCUUUAUUCCCCUUGCCCCUUGUAAUUUUUUUAGAAUACCGUGUUUUCAGGCAUGGUAGGGUGAUAAUCCGACAUUUAGAAAACGUAUUUUGUUGCAAACUCCGAGACAAACUUCGCGUAAUUUUCUCAUUCUUAGUAUUGCUUUGCGUGUAUUUUCACCUAUGUUUUAUAGAAUUUUGUACCAUCAUAUCAUAAUAACAGAAGUGAUGUAUAAAAAUUGAAAGCAAGCUGCAGCAGUAGAUUUCUUUAUGCUAUAUGAGUAUUGCUUUAAUCGUACCGUCCAGAACGUUUAUCUAUCAUUUCUUCAUCAUUAUUUUAACUACGAUGUAACCGCCGGGAAAUUUUGCCUCGUUAGUGUCACUGGUUCUGUAUUUAAAAUUGAAGAAACUAAGCACCAGCAUUGAAAAUUAUUUUUUCAAUGCUUGUUUGAUUCGAUGGGCAUAUAAAGUUCUUUUUAUCAACAAAUUAUUACUGCUGUUCGAAUAGUGAACGAUACUGAUUCGGAAAAUUCGAUGCGUAUCCAACACUACGUUUUGUUAAUUUCACAGAACAAUGGGAUAUGUUGUAAUCUUCGAUUUUUCCACACGGUUGAUGAAACAUAUUGAUUACUUCCUUCGAUAAUCGGCAUUGUUAUGAUUACACUAGUUUUGCUUCAGCAGGAAUUUACCAUCUCAAGAAUAUAAUAUAUAAAUGUCCGGCCUGAAUUUUGUCUAAAAUGAAAAUAAAAGGACGCCACCCAUACCAAAGAAGUAAAUAAAACCCUAAAGAAGAUGAUUGUUAAAUAUUCGCCGUAUUCUUAAUAAAUAAAAAUAACAAUAAUAACAAAACUAAUAAAUAAGUCACUAAACAAGUUUAAAAAAAAAGCCUAAAAUGAUUAGAUCAGUGUUACAGGGCCUACGGAAUUUACUUAAAUAUUGAUC